GGGUCGAUGGCGUAGUUGGUUAUCGCAUCUGUCUAACAUGUAUCUCUGUCGAAAGUGGUACACAGAAGGUCCUCAGUUCGAACCUGGGUCGACUCA